rnacentral:rRNA from 1 species
GAUGAACGCUAGCGACAGGCUUAACACAUGCAAGUCGAGGGGCAGCGAGAAAGUGCUUGCACUUUUGUCGGCGACCGGCGCACGGGUGAGUAACACGUAUGCAACCUGCCCUUGUCAGGGGGAUAAGCGGGGGAAACCCCGUCUAAUACCGCAUAUAUGGUUUGGAGGCAUCUUUAAAUCAGGAAAGAAUUAUCGGACAAGGAUGGGCAUGCGGCGCAUUAGCUGGUUGGGGGGGUAACGGCCCACCAAGGCGACGAUGCGUAGGGGUUCUGAGAGGAAGGUCCCCCACACUGGUACUGAGACACGGACCAGACUCCUACGGGAGGCAGCAGUGAGGAAUAUUGGUCAAUGGGCGGGAGCCUGAACCAGCCAAGUCGCGUGAGGGAAGACGGCCCUACGGGUUGUAAACCUCUUUAGUCGGGGAGCAAAAAGGAUCACGCGUGGUCCAUUGAGCGUACCCGAAGAAUAAGCAUCGGCUAACUCCGUG